ACCACAAACCCUUUACGACGGAUCGUCCGGCACGUACCUGCCGGUGAAGGAGACAACA
rfam:Streptomyces oceani strain SCSIO 02100 scaffold64, whole genome shotgun sequence.